UGAUAAAAAAAUAGGAACAGAGUCCAUAUAAAGGAGAAAGGCGAGAAUAUAUGGGGGAAAAUCCUUUAGCGCCUCAGAAGCUGAAAAAAAGGAUUAAUGCAAUUAUCCAUUAACACCACUAGACCACAUUUUAGAGGAGAGGGGGAAACGUCAGGAACAGGAAAAAUCAGAGAGCAAUAGAUUUGGGGAUAGGGGAGGAGACGUCUCCUUCUUCUUCUUCAAGCAAAACACAGCAGCCAUCCACCAUUCAAAUACUAUUUUCCUUCAUAUCUUCACCUUGUAAAGAACAUAGAAACUCAUCUCUUUCCCCUUUAAGAUUGCUCCAUAAAAACCCGUCCCCAAAAAUCUAAAGCUCUCAAACCGGCCACCCAAACACCUUUAUAUUCACCGGAACAACCAAUAGCUCAACCACUUAGUAUCAUCCGCUAAUCACUUUAUUUAGCUACAACUCUAUCAUUAAAAAGGGGUCGAGUUUGGUCACAAAUUUUGGUGAAAUUAGAUAGAGGUCGCCGUCUCAAGUCUCCGAUCGCGGGUCCAAUCGCUCAUUUCAAGUAUACUGGUGAUUCAUUGCUGAGUGUUCUUUAGUAAUUAAGCUUUUAAGAAUUAUUUACAUUGAGGUCUUCUCCUAUCUUAUGCUUUGAUUCUCUGUUUCUUAUAUAUUUUUGCUAUAUUCCUUGAAGUUUAAUUUUAUUCUCAGUGAUAUUUUGUUUUGUGUUUGAUUGAGUUGUUCUUAGUUUAAUUUAUUUUGUGUGUUUGAUUAAGUUGUUCACUUGUUCCUAGUUUGAAGUUGCAUCAUUUUUCAGAAUUCUUUAGAUUUUAAUUAGUUCUAGAAUUGCACACUCGAAGAUGAUUGGUUUAUUUACUUGUUUUAACAUGAGUUGAAUGAGUCAAUUAAGCUUUGGACUAUAAUUU
rnacentral:lncRNA from 1 species